rnacentral:ncRNA from 1 species
UAUGAUAUGGGUUAAUGUGUUAAUAAUCACCUAACCUAGACCUUGAAUCUACACACCCUAAACUUCUAAAUAUCGAACCAUAACUCAUAACCCUUCUAAAGACACAACGUUAUUUAUUCUCAUUGCUCUGCAUGUCAAAGUGAAGAAAUUCAACCAAGCACGGGUAAAUGGUGGGAGUAACUAUGACUAUCUUAAGGUAGUCAUAUGCCUCAUCAUCUAAUUAGUGACAUGCAUGAAUGGAUCAUAAACAAGAUUCCACACUGUCCCUAGCUACUAUAUUCUAGAGGAACCACAUCCAUGGGAAUGGGCUUGCCAAAAUUAGCGGGGAAAGAAGACCCUCAUGUUGAGCUUGACUCUAGUCCUAACCCAUUCAUAAUUUGGGAAAAUUAGGGCAUAGUUUGGGAAAAUUAGACCAUAACACUUGUCUUUGGGAGUCAAAUUGAUGAUGAAAACAAGUGGGUGUGUGAGUCAAAUUUGAGUCCAGAAACCCUCCCAUAUCGUUAAGGCAUGUGAAUAGUCUAUCUAUGAUCAUGAUGGUAUAAAAAUGAAUGAGCUUCUCCUGGUUUCAAGAAUAAUUUAUCCUCUACUUAACAAGGCCAACCAAAUGAAGGCGGAAGCUCAUAUGGCCCCUCCCCCCCACAC